GAUGAACGCUAGCUACAGGCUUAACACAUGCAAGUCGAGGGGCAGCAUGGUCUUAGCUUGCUAAGGCCGAUGGCGACCGGCGCACGGGUGAGUAACACGUAUCCAACCUGCCGACUACUCUUGGACAGCCUUCUGAAAGGAAGAUUAAUACAAGAUGGCAUCAUGAGUCCGCAUGUUCACAUGAUUAACGGUAUUCCGGUAGACGAUGGGGAUGCGUUCCAUUAGAUAGUAGGCGGGGUAACGGCCCACCUAGUCUUCGAUGGAUAGGGGUGCUGAGAGGAAGGUCCACCACAUUGGAACUACGACACGGUCCAAACUCCUACGGAGGGCAGCAGUGUAGAAUAUUAGUCGAUGAACGCAGACCUGAACCAGCCGAGUAGCGUGAAGGAGGACUGCCCUAGGAGUUGUAAUCUUCUUUGAUAGAGGAAUAAAGUCGGGUAUGUAUACCCUUUUGCAUGUACUUAAUGAAUAAGGAUCGGCUAACUCCGUG
rnacentral:rRNA from 1 species